UACGUGAGGGGCGAACGUUGUUCGGUGUCACUGGGCUUAAAGGGUGCGUAGGUGGUUGCGUAAGUAACGUGUGAAAGCCCUCGGCUUACCCCGGGGAAUUGCGCGUUAUACUGCGUGACUUGAGGAUUUCAGGGGAAAGGGGAACUCCAGGUGUAGCGGUGAAAUGCGCAGAUAUCUGGGGGAAGGCCGGCGGCGAAGGCGCCUUUCUGGGAAAUUCCUGACACUGAGGCACGAAAGCGUGGGGAGCAAACAGG
rnacentral:rRNA from 1 species